GGGGACAGGAGUGAGUGGGGUACCCUGUCUCUAAGAGAGACCUCUGCAUGAUUGGAUAGUUGAGGAGGUUUCGCGAGCCAUUCACGAGGAUCUGCCCGACAUGGUCGUGAGGGUCACUGGUAGGUUGACCGCGAAGCUCCAGGAUUAGUCAGCUGUUGUUCAGACGUCGGAUGGGGUCGACGAGGUAACGCAGGAGCGAGAGACAGGCAGGGAGUCGGAAAGGAAGAGGAAAACGGAUGAGAAUCAGGUAGCCACAGGUUCGGGCAUAAGGCCUAAGGGGUCGGAUUUGAGAUCGAGGGACUAUCAGAGCGACAGUCGAUGCGGGAAGUGUGGUAGGGCACACAAGGGUGUGUGCAGGCGUAGAUGUGGUGGCGAUGUUGGAUGUUUCAAGUGCGGCCGGAUUGGCCAUUUUAGCAGAGAUUUUACUGUUACCAUCACCCUGGAACUUGUCCCGAUAUGUUUCCAUUGCAGUCGGAGGGGCCACAAGAAGGCCAAUUGUCCGAGUUUGUAUACAACAAAGCAGGUGAUAGCUCCUACCCCUGUGACUCCGAGUACCACCAGCGGUUGUCGGGGCCGGGCAAGGACGCCCACGGCUCGGAGUAGAGUAUUCCGGAUGAUAUCAACAAGGAUUCGUGCAACACUGGAUGUUGGGGGUACGUAUCUUUUACUUUCCUGUCAAUUAUUAUUCAUGAUAUUAUUGUUAUGUUGCUGCAUUGAUAUCAAUAAGCAUAUGUGUUGGGGUAUUAUAUUACCUGCUUGUAACGGAGUUUUAUGCCACCUGCAUACCUUGGAAUUAGAAUGGCAAAUUGGAGGUUGUCCCCUCUAGAUCAGGUUACUUCAUAUGCGGUGACUGUAGCAUGUAUAUGUAAGAAUCAGUAAUGCCUCACUACUUUCAAAAGGUGUCAUUCGGGAUUGAUCAGUUAAAUCCUUAGUAGUGACAAUUUAGAGCUUCUAGUGAGGUAGCCAGCGGACAGUAAGGAAGUGGGUUGGGGAUGUGCACCCCAAACGGAGGUUCUCAGGAUGUAGUCCCUAAAGCAAAUACAGUUAAGGAUUGAAAGGUGCUCAGUUAGAUAGCAAGAAUGGUUCGGAUCUGGUAAAAGUUAGUUGGAGCACCGGCAGAGGUAAAUAUUGGCGGACAACAUAUCGCCCUUUUAAUGGAAGGACGGUCGGGGAAUCCUUUCGACCAGUGAGUAGUAAAGAGUUAGCCGAAUCCAAGUGGGGGAGAACCCUCCGAGUAUACAAGGGUAAGAGCACGCAGACCCAGAAUGAGUACACGACCUCAGAGAAGAAAAGAUAGUAGUGCAGUGAUUGAUGGAUUGAGGAGUUCAGGAUUGGGAGUUUGAGGUUCUUCCCAACAGUUAGUUCAUGUAAUCGAGAUGGUUAGUAGCUGGUUGGCAAUCCAGGAUUAGAAGAAGGCCUAUAGGACUCUAGUGAGUCUGAAUGAGGAUCUUGAGAACGGUUAGCAAGAGAUGCUUUCGUGUUAGUAGUCAGUGGUAGAGACGACAUGCAACAUUGUGUGGAUUUAAUAGUUGGGGGUUUGGAAACUUCCCAACGAUAGUUUCAUAUAUCCGGAUUAGUAGAUGGUUGGUUUAGGAACCAAGCCGAAGAAUUUCUCGACGGAACGCUAAGUGUAUCAAGGAUAUAAGAUGUCGAGGUUGAUGCAACAUUCGAUGACUGAGGGUUGGUUUUGCAAAAUCAGGAUGAGGAAUCAUUAGCAGGACUAUGGAUAGUCAGGAUGUCCUCGGAAUAGUAGUUAGUAAAGCCGUUGGAUAGUAGUAGAGUGUUGUAAGAGUGCGGGGGUAGCCGUAGCACUCACUAGCAGUCAGAUAGUAGUAGAGUGUUGUAAGUCUGUGGGGGUAGCCGUAGCAUUCACUUGCGGUCAGAUAGUAGUAGAGUGUUGUAAGUCUGUGGAUGUAGCCGUAGCAUUCGUCAGGUUAGUAGAUAGCAUGAGCGCGUUGUUUGGACAUGGGGGAAAUAGUAGUACCCACCAGUUCAGGUGCAGCAGUGAAGAUAUGGGAAUCCACAGGCUAGAUUUUGGAUUUCCCAAAUGGUUCAGUUAUGGUUAAGCCGGCGAUUCGACAGUUGGAUCGUCACCACAGUUAUCAGAUCAGGGUACCAGUGGACCGUUUGAGUUCGUGUAUGUUAAGGGCUACAGUUAGUCUGGGAGCCAUCAUGUUUUAGUCGUGGAAUUGAUGAUGUCAGGAUGUGACCUUUGGACCUGAUCGGUGGACUGGGAGGUUGUUAGAGCCACAGUGACAGGAUAACUAGUGGAAACUAGUUCCAGAGAAAGAUUUCGUUCAGAAGUCGUGGGAUCGACUAAGUGAGGAGUCGUUGGACUCGAUAGUUGAGUUGGAACUCGGUGUUGCAGAUAACCGACGAAUGAUUGGAGAUCAGGAAGGUCUUGAGAUAUUUUGGGAAGCAGUCAUAUAGGCAGUUCGGUGCUUCAAACAGUUCAGUGUUUCAGGCAGUUCAGUGUUUCAUGCAUGUUCAGUGUUUCAUGAAGUUCAGUGUUUCAGGCAGUUCAGUGUUUUAGGCAGUUUAGUGUUUCAGGCAUGUUCAGUGUUUCAGGAAGUUCAUUAUUUCAGGCAGUUCAGUGUUGUAGGCAGUUCAGUGUUUUGGAUAGUUUUAGAGUUAUGGACAGUAUUAGUAUUUGUUUUGGAAUGCAAAUGCUGAUGGUAUAGUUGGUUGAUUUGGAAAUGGCAAGUCCAUCUCAGCAGGAUCAAUUGAGUCUUCUGCCAAGUAUAAGUGAUAUGCAAGGGUAAUUAGGCAGGUAGCCUUUCUUUCAGGAUGGAAGACUCAAGUUAUUGGAAGUUGAGUAGUCAGAUGAGAGAUAAGUAGGCUGGUUCCAGCAACAUCGAUUCGGUAUGAGUGGCAGAAUGGAAAGAACAAUUAUAGAUAGUUGAAGUAUCUUCAGAAGUCGGUGGAAGCAACCAGGAGAUUGCGAUGGGGUGUAGUGACCGGUGGGAGUCCGGUAACCCAGAUAUCGGCAGAUUAGUUGGACCAGGGUGGUCUCAGUGCAUCCGGUAGGCGGGUGAGGGGGGGGGNNAGGGGGGGGGGGAGGGGGGGGGGGGGGGGGGGCAACAGAAAUUUCAGUCAAAGGCAGUAACGACAAGGGAAGUAUGGUAAGAGGUAGCAAGUUGGAAGAGGUUUCCACGCCUCUCACGACAGGGUUGGAUGAUAUCAGAGGGGAGGGUUUGACCUUGUUGCGCAGCACUCGUAUGAGUCUUAACCGUUGCAGGGAUGAAUCUUUCACUCGAAGGAUUAUCUAAUCCAUUCGCUGGGAUGGGUGCUCAGCACCAAGUUAUGGAAAUAAGAAGCAUUCAGUAUGUACCAGUAGUAGUGACCAACACUGAGUGUAGCUGGAGUGAUGGACAAAAGGGUUAAAGUCACCAGGCAGGGUGUUUGAGGCGAAUUACAGGUCAGUUGACCAUAGAGAACCUCGAGGACGAAGUUUAGUUUAAGUGGGGGAGAGUUGUAACACUCGAAAUUAGAAAUGUCAAGAAAGGAAAGGAAAACCAUAAGUUAAAGAGGGUCGAAUCGUAGAGUCCAGGGAGGAACUCGGCGAGUCGGAGCGGGAUCUGGGUGUAAAGUAAGUGACCGACUCGGCGAGUCAGCAAGUGGACUCGGUGAGUCUGGUCUGGGUUGGGAAACCCUAAUUCCGGGACUUGGUACCCUAUUUAAGCAUCUUAUUCUCUUCCCUAGGGCUCAUUUACGGCCCCUAUAGUCUAGAACCCCAAACCCUAGCCACCAUAACCGUUUUUUGAGCAAGAUCUACCCUUGGUGAAGUAAUUUGGAGCUUGGAAGAGAUGAGAUUCAUAGUGGUGCAAGAGGAGGCCUUGGAUCCAGAGUUGGUGGAACUUUUUAGAGCAUUUGGUGGUAAUGAAUCGUUAUCCUUGGCUUUCUCCUUUCUAGAUCCAUCUUUCAUGGAGUUUUAGGGUUUCUUUGAGAGUAAGUGAUGAAAAGUGGGUGCACAAGUUCGAUCUAGAGUUGAAACUCCAGAUCUGAGCUCUAUUUGGACCAAAAGAUGCAGAAAGCCCUGUUAGUUGCUAUGCAAAAUCCAUUCCCCAUGAUUUAAGUUCCUUUCUAGCUUGGUUUUGGUAUUAUGAGACAAGAAGCACGUAAAGGUAACAACUUUAUGUUGCUAAUGGACUAUAGGAACCCAGAUCUAUUGUUUGGAGCAAAGGAGUAGCUCUGUGACUCGAGAUCAUGAGAAUACACGAAAGGACUCGGCGAGUCUGGGAGAUGACUCGGCGAGUCGGGCUAGAUAUCAGACUUAAAUCGCGUAGCAACUCGGCGAGUCACAUGGGUGGACUCGGCGAGUUGGAUGAAGAUAGGCAGGAACUCGAUGAGUUGGAAGAACAACUCGGCGAGUCUGUUGAAGAUUGCCUUGGACUCGGCGAGCCUGUUCUUGGACUCGGCGAGUCAUGUCAUGAAACCCCAAACCCUUCUAGUUAAGACUCGGAUCAGUGAGUUGAGUGAAGACUCAGUGAGUUGGACAGGACCGCACUAGGAAAUCAGUAGACUCAGCGAGUCAUGGUCGGACUCGGCGAGUCGAGUCGUGAAUGAAAGGGGUUUCUGAGCUUGUGAACUCGGAGAGUCAGUAGGCUGACUCGGCAAGUAGGGUCAACCUGGAAGGUUGAAUGUGACCAGGACUUUGACUUUGACUAGAGCUGACUUAGUUGACUUUUGGAGGACUAUCAGACUAAGUGUCAUGUUGAUAUUGGUAGCUCGGAGAGCUAGAUGAGCAGCGACUCAGAGGGUUGUCGGUUAGAAGCCAGAGGGUUAUCAGCAGAGCUCAGCAGCUCAUGUGAGUUUCCUUCCAGUAGGAACGGGUCUAAGGCCACAAUGCCGACCCGUGUAGCUUGCAGUAGUUUCUGGACUUCGGUCCGACGCAGUAGUUAGUAUGUUUGAUGCCUUCGUGGCUCAGACAGGAUUUAUGUGUUAUGUGUUUUGGGCUACGGCCCGAUGCAGUAUGCAGUUUAUGUGUUCAUGCUAGUGGAUAUGUUUAUGCUAUGCUAUGUUCAGUCAGUUUUCGGUCUUCGGUCCGAUGCAGGGGGCAAGGCCCCAGUUAGCUUCCUGACUUCGGUCCGAUGCAGGGGACAAGGUCCCAGUUAGUUUCCGAACUUCGGUCCGAUGCAAGGGGCAAGGCCCCAGUUAGUCCGGACUUCGGUCCGAUGCAGGGGACAAGGUCCCAGUCAGUUUCCGGACUACGGUCCGAUGCAGGGGGCAAGGCCCUAGUUAGUCCAGACCUCGUCCCGAUACAGUGGGCAAGGCCCAAUAUGUGCUUUAUAUGUUUGUAUGGUAUGUGGUAGUUUGGGGGAGCUCACUAAGCUUUGUGCUUACUGUUUGCAGUUUUUGGUUUCAGGUACUCAGUUUUCAAAAGAGGAGCUCGGAGAGGUUGCAGCACACACACCAUAGUCAGUUAGCCUGGGAAUGUUUUACUCUGAUAAUAAGAUUAUGUUUUCAAUUGAUACUCGAAAACUAUGUUAUGACUUAUGAUACAGUUUUUAUAAACAUGGUUUUAGUAAUGUUUUAAAAGAAAUUUUUAGUCGUGAUUUUGGGUCGUUAGAAUUCGGUAUCAGAGCCUUGGUUUGAGGGAUUCGGACACACUUGAGAGUGUGUCUGGACUCAAACUAAGGGAGCGGUAAAAAGGUUUUCAAAAGAAGAACAUUUUUUAAAAGAAUUCUAGUAAAAGGAGUUGUGAAAAGAAAAGAGUUUUAGAAAAAGCGAAAGGAAUAUUUAGAAAGAAAAUAACUUGAAAGGAGAAAAAGUGUGUGGUGCAUGCAGUCAACCGAGCUCAAGUAUGUACUCCCAAAUUACCCAUACGAGUUUAUGAUCAUCAGUUUCAGUUUCAGUUUUAGUUCCAGUUUCAGUUUCAGUUUCGGUUUCAGUAGAACAACAUGCUAGUAUAGGACUAAGGAUCUAGGAGGAUGCCUUAUGUGCCUGUUUUAUGUGUUUUAGCUUGAUAAGAAUUGCAUGCUAGUAUUUAGUAGACAGUAGUAGGAUAUCCUGUGUAGGUUAUGCCUGAUAGUAUGACCUUAACAUUAUAUGCUAGUACAGUUUCUUGUUAUGAGAAUAGUUUUGCAUGAGUAUGUUUCCUUUAUCCGAAUGUUGCUCGCUUUGUGCUUUGUGGGACUCUGAGUGACAGGAGUUAGCGAUUAGGUGAAUACGUCACAUCACAUGUGAUCAGGGUUGAAUAAUCUCAAAGUGCUGGAUUUGGCCCUACUGCACAACUCUCGUUUGAGUCUAACCGUUUUAGGGACGAGUCUUUUACCCGAAGGAUUAUCCGAGGCUCAUUGCAUGUGAUGGUGUUCAGGUGGUGGCUAAUUGGCAUUACAAGGAGGCCUUCAGCAGCUGAGGACUGGUUUGGGUGGUGUCAGAAGUUCUAUAGGGCAAGCCUAGGAAGGUAGUAGCAGAGACCAGUAGUAGUAGAGUGACUUGGUGGAAUUGAGGUAACUCUUGAGGAAAGUACGGAUAGAUGUGGAAGGUAGUAUGGGCCAGUACUACUGAAAGCAGAGGAUCCGUACUCAAAUCAAGAGAAGCCGAGACAAGACCAGGGAACUUUUAGAGUGUGUGAGAGAUCCCUCAGCAGCGGUAUGUAUAUUGAUCAGGAAGUGUUAUUUUUUCAGGAUGGUGACAUUGCGCGAAUUACCAGUUAGCAGUUCAGGUACCGGGGAGGGAUCUGGCUCAGGCUUUGGAGCUGGGUAGCUUGAUGAUCAGAUGAGGGAUUUCAUCUCCGCAGAGAUUAUGCGCAACAUCAUUGAUCAGACUCCAGUAAUUUUCGACUCGGUUAGAGAGGCCAUCGUGGAGCUUAUGGAUAGUCAUCUUGAGGCCUUUAGGGUCGGGAUAGUUUCAGGACAGAUUGGGGCUCGUCUAGAUCCCGAUUCUUAUGGAAUUCAGGGAUCCAUUAGGGAUGGAGAUCCCAUUUCUAGUUUUUUCCAUCAGGGGACAAGAGUGAGUGGGGCACCCUGUCUCCAAGAGAGACCUAUGCAUGAUUGGAUAGUUGAGGAGGUUUCGCGAGCCAUUCACGAGGAUCUGCCAGACAUGGUCGUGAGGAUCACUGGUAGGUUGACCACGAAGCUCCAGGAUCAGUCAACUGUUGUUCAGACGUCAGAUGGGGUCGACAAGGUAACGCAUGAGCGAGAGACGGGCAGGGAGUCGGAAAGGAAGAGGAAAACGGAUGAGAGUCAGGUAGCCACAGGUUCAGGAAAAAGGCCCAAGGGGUAGGAUUUGAGAUCGAGGGACUAUCAGAGCGGCAGUCGAUGUGGGAAGUGUGGUAGGGCGCACAAGGGUUCAUGCAGGCGUAGAAGUGGUGGCGUUGUUGGAUGUUUUAAGUGCGGCCGGAUUGGCCAUUUUAGCAUAGAUUGUACUGUUACCAUCACCCAGGAACUUGUUCCAAUAUGUUUCCAUUGCAGUCGGAGGGGCCACAAGAAGGCCCACUGUCCGAGUUGGUAUACAACAAAGCAGGUGAUAGCUCCUGCCCCUGUGACUCCGAGUACCAGCAGCGGUUGCCGGGGCCGGGCAAGGACGCCCACGGCUCAGAGCAGAGUAUUCUGGAUGAUUUCAAGAAGGAUUCGUGCAACAUUGGAUGUUGGGGGUACGUAUCUUUUACCUUCCUGUCAAUUAUUAUUCAUGAUGUUAUUGUUAUGUUGCUGCAUUGAUAUCAAUAAGCAUAUGUGUUGGGGUAUUAUAUUACUUGCUUUUGACGGAGUUUUAUGCCAUGUGCGUACCUUGGAAUUAGAAUGGCAAAUUGGAGG
rnacentral:lncRNA from 1 species